rnacentral:rRNA from 1 species
UUCUUUAUCACCGAGUGCUUGCACUCACCGAUAAAGAGUUGAGUGGCGAACGGGUGAGUAACACGUGGGCAACCUGCCCAAAAGAGGGGGAUAACACUUGGAAACAGGUGCUAAUACCGCAUAACCAUAGUUACCGCAUGGUAACUAUGUAAAAGGUGGCUAUGCUACCGCUUUUGGAUGGGCCCGCGACGCAUUAGCUAGUUGGUGGGGUAAAGGCUUACCAAGGCAAUGAUGCGUAGCCGAACUGAGAGGUUGAUCGGCCACAUUGGGACUGAGACACGGCCCAGACUCCUACGGGAGGCAGCAGUAGGGAAUCUUCCACAAUGGGCGAAAGCCUGAUGGAGCAACGCCGCGUGGGUGAAGAAGGUCUUCGGAUCGUAAAACCCUGUUGUUAGGGAAGAAAGUGCGUGAGAGUAACUGUUCACGUUUCGACGGUAUCUAACCAGAAAGCCACGGCUAACUACGUGCCAGCAGCCGCGGUAAUACGUAGGUGGCAAGCGUUAUCCGGAUUUAUUGGGCGUAAAGAGAACGCAGGCGGUCUUUUAAGUCUGAUGUGAAAGCCUUCGGCUUAACCGGAGUAGUGCAUUGGAAACUGGGAGACUUGAGUGCAGAAGAGGAGAGUGGAACUCCAUGUGUAGCGGUGAAAUGCGUAGAUAUAUGGAAGAACACCAGUGGCGAAAGCGGCUCUCUGGUCUGUAACUGACGCUGAGGUUCGAAAGCGUGGGUAGCAAACAGGAUUAGAUACCCUGGUAGU